CUGCCUGAAAAAUGAUCUGGAAUCCCUGAUGCUCGAGUGCUAGCACGGUAAAUGAGGAGUUUAGGAGUUUCUCCAUCUCUCUGUUGGUACCAGGCUAAAAGGUGGUAGUUGCUCCAAAAACGAACAUCCUGACUGGUCCUACAUUUGAUGGAGACGGAGCCUCCCAGAGCAGAGCUCACUG